rnacentral:rRNA from 1 species
UACGGAGGGGGCUAGCGUUGUUCGGAAUUACUGGGCGUAAAGCGCACGUAGGCGGCUUUGUAAGUUAGAGGUGAAAGCCCGGGGCUCAACUCCGGAAUUGCCUUUAAGACUGCAUCGCUAGAAUUGUGGAGAGGUAAGUGGAAUUCCGGGUGUAGCGGUGGAAUGCGUAGAGAUCCGGAAGAACACCGGUGGCGAAGGCGGCCUGCUGGGCAGUGGCUGACGCUGAGGCGCGACAGCGUGGGGAGCAAACAGG